GUUGAAGAACGCAGUGAAAUGCGAUAAGUAAUGUGAAUUGCAGAAUUCAGUGAAUCAUCGAAUCUUUGAACGCACAUUGCGCCCGCCAGCACUCUGGCGGGCAUGCCUGUUCGAGCGUCAUUUCAACCAUCAAGCCCCCAGGGGCUUGUGCUGGGGCCCUGCGGCUGCCCGCAGGCCCUGAAAACCAGUGGCGGGCUCGCUAGUCACACCGAGCGCAGUAGCACAUCUCGCUCAGGGCGUGCGGCGGGCUCCUGCCGUGAAACCCCCCACUGUAACCCCAAAGGUUGACCUCGGAUCAGGUAGGAAUACCCGCUGAACUUAAGCAUAUCAAUAAGCGGAGGA
rnacentral:misc_RNA from 1 species